UACGUAGGGGGCUAGCGUUAUCCGGAUUUACUGGGCGUAAAGGGUGCGUAGGUGGUUUUUUAAGUCAAGAGUGAAAGGCUACGGCUCAACCGUAGUAAGCUCUUGAAACUGGAAAACUUGAAUGCAAGAGAGGAAAGUGGAAUUCCUAGUGUAGCGGUGAAAUGCGUAGAUAUUAGGAGGAACACCAGUAGCGAAGGCGGCUUUCUGGACUGUAACUGACACUGAGGCACGAAAGCGUGGGGAGCAAACAGG
rnacentral:rRNA from 1 species